AGAAUCAACGCUGGCGGCGUGCCUAACACAUGCAAGUCGAACGAGAAAGUGGAGCAAUCCAUGAGUAAAGUGGCGACCGGGUGAGUAACACGUGACUAACCUACCUUCGAGUGGGGGAUAACCUCGGGAAACCGGGGCUAAUACCGCAUAACAUCUUUGAAGUGGAAAUUUCGGAGAUCAAAGGAGCAAUUCGCUGGAAGAGGGGGUCGCGGCUGAUUAGCUAGUUGGCGGGGUAACGCCACCAAGGCUUAGAUCGGUA
rnacentral:rRNA from 1 species